GAGUUUAAUCAUGGCUCAGGAUGAACGCUAGCUGGAGGCUUAAUACAUGCAAGUCGAGCGGGAUUGAGGUAGUAAUAUCUCAUGAGAGCGGCGAACGGGUGAGUAACGCGUACACGACCUACCUUUGACUGGGGGAUAGCCCUGGGAAACUGGGAUUAAUACCGCAUAUAAUUUCGAAUAGUAAAGGAUUUGGAAUGAAAGUUCAGGCGGUCAGAGAUGGGUGUGCGUCUGAUUAGCUAGUUGGUAAGGUAACGGCUUACCAAGGCGAUGAUCAGUAGGGGGCGUGAGAGCGUGGUCCCCCCA
rnacentral:rRNA from 1 species